rnacentral:lncRNA from 1 species
AUUCCUUUCUUCUUCCUCCUUAAGGUCUAAACGUUUAUUGAACGGAGGCUCAAAACCGAGUUACUGAACUAGGCUUUCAGUAGUAGACACGUGUCAUGUUUAAGAUUUAUUUUAUUCAUUUCCAUCCAUUGUGCCAAAGGACCUGCUCCAGGAAAAUGCUCCCCUGUUGAUAGGUGCGGGAGAGUAAAAGGGAGACGAUGAAGCUAAAUUAAAACUGAAGUCCUUUGUGCUCAGGGAAUAUGACCUUAGAGUGGGAGAGGGGCGGGGAGUGAGUAGAAAAGUCGGCGAAGCAAAAAUAAGGAAGGUUGGGGCCCUGUAACCUAGCAUCCUGAAAUAUCAGCGUAGGUAAGGUAGCAGGCAAGGCACGAAUGCACUCAAAGCCCAGGUGUACUUCCCUCAUCAAAUGCUGGCUCCCGAAGGGUACUGAGGGGAGGGGUCACGCGGGGGGAGGGGGGGUGUCCCUGGAUGGUUUUUUCCUCUUUAGGGACCUGCUUGCCGGAUGAUUCCGUCUCCCACUUGCUUCUCUUCGGCUCCUUCUUUCCCAUCUGCCAGGGGAGCUUAAAGACAUCUCUGCCGCCCAGUUACAAAAAGUGGCAACUUCCCCUCCGGCCCGCAGACUGAUCGCUCAUUUGAAUGCGUUUCCUUUUCAUUAAGAACAAAGGUUGGAGUCCGAGCCUCGCGGCGCGGCGGCCGGAAAGUACAAGAUGUGUGUCGAGAGCAAACACACACACACACACACACACACACACACACAGAAUGACCCACGAGAAAGGGAAAGGGGAAAACACCAAUCCUGCGCUGGGCUUUUUCGACUUUUCCUUUAAAAAGAAAAAAGUUUUUCAAGCUGCGCGGGCUUCCUGUGCGCGGCUGAGCCGGGGCGCAGCGCGACGGUCCCAUCGGGCGGCCUCCACCCUCGGGACGCGAGCGGAGCGCCGAGCCCAGCGGCGAUCACGCGACGCGGGGAAGGAAGGAAGAUCUCUCCUUUCAAAGAUAACUAGCCAAAUGAACAUAAUAAACAAGUCCAAGCAGUUGGAGGGGCGGCCGCCACCCCACCGUCUCCAAAUAACUGAUUCGCAUUUCCGAGACGGUUCACCUGAAGCCUUGCCUGCCACCUUGGUUCUCCCACCUGAAGGAGAUGGUUCUAAUGGUGGUGCAAACCAGGAAGGGGAAAUCUGUGGUUUACGUUCUCUGUGCCUCAUCCCUCUCGGAGAGCUGGAGGCUUGCUGGAGGCUAUAUGCUGUUAAUGCUAAUUGUGAUAGGGGUUUUUACCUCCGUCUGACUCCUACAUGUUAGCAUUAACAGGGUAUGAUGCCUGUUACUAGCAUUCACAUGGAACAAACUGCUGCUGUGGGAGGAUGACAAAGAAGUGUGAGUCACCCUGCUGGAUAAACUCAGACUUUAAGCUUUAUUAUUUUUUGUUAAUCAUAAUCUGGUCACUGGGAUGUUCCACCUGAUAGUAAGUCUUUAAGAAUAAGGUCUUGUAAAAGAUUUAUCAACGGUAUCCUGAAAGCAAACUUUUUUACUUUAAUCCUUAAGCCCACAUUUUUUUUAAAAAAAUCUUUAAUGGAAAAUGUAUUCCUGUCCUUUUUAAUUCACAGUUAUGGUUUGUUCAUUAUAACUGUUUAUAAACACUUUGAAUAAUUUAACUAGAAAGAAAUAUAAACACAUUCUGAGUAUCUUUGCAGUUAAAAAUUAGGACUACUAUCCACUAAUUAAUCAUGGAUUGUUGGGAAAUAUGUUCAAAAAGAUUUAGAAAUUGGUAUUUCCCCCAUGUAACAAUUCUAUUUAGACAACUUCAGUUUCAAAUGGAUACUUUUAUAUGAAUCUUAAAGUAGACUUGAAAGGCUAUGGCAAUUAGUUUUUAAAAAAUGAAAGAUUUCAUUCUUUUUUAUGGCUGAGUAGUAUUCCAUUGCAUAUAUAUACCACAUAUCCUUAAUCCACCCAUUCGUCUGUCGCUGGACAUUUAGGCUGUUUCCAUUUGCAGCAACAUGGAUGCAAAUAGAGAUUCUCAUACUAAAUGAAGUUAAGUCAGAAAGAUAAAGACAAAUUCCAUAUGAUAUCAGUUAUAUGUGGACUCAAAAAUAUGGCACAAAUGAACCUAUCUACAAAACAGAAACAGACCCACAGACAUAGAGAAUAGACUUGUGGUUGCCAAGGGGGAGGGAAGAGGGAGUGGGAUGGAUGGGCAGUUUGGGGUUAGUAGAUACAGACUAUUACAUUUAGAUUAGAUGGGCAAUGAGGUCCUACUAUUCAGCACGGGGAACUAUAUCCAGUCUCUUGGGAUAGACCAUGAUGGAAGAUAAUAUAAGACAAGGAAUGAAUAUAUACAUAUGACUGGGUCACCUUGCUGCAAUAGCAGAACUUGCCACAACGUUGUACAUCAACUAUACGUUAAUAAAAAAAUCAAAAAGAUUUUUUAAACUUAGUAC